UACCUGGUUGAACCUGGCCAUAAUCAUAUGCUUGUCUC
rnacentral:rRNA from 1 species